AGUAGAAUGUCUGAGGUAAUGAGGUGAUAGAUUGUAAAUCUAUUAAGGGGUAGUAAUAAUUCCCUUCUACUA
rnacentral:tRNA from 1 species